rnacentral:tmRNA from 1 species
GGGGAUGUCCAUAAGUCGCAGGUGACCAAAAUGUUCCUGCGCCAGCCGUCGCGGCGUUCGCACGACGUUAAUCUCCACGAACGCAAAGAGAUAACUGCCAAUAAUCUCAUAAGCCUUGUGAAAGAUAAAGUAUUGGGCUUAGCCCAAGCUUUUGAAUUCGCGCCGGCUACUGUAGCGGCCUAACCGCCGUUACCAUCCGCCCUUGUUCCGCCUGCGGAUAAGGAAUCGGGUGUCAUACUGCAGGCUUACUCCAACGCUUCUCCUAAAAGCCGUGGGAGGACAAUGGCUUUUUAGGGACUUGCGCGCGCUUUCUUGUCUGCUCCUCGGGCGUGCGCGAGUAUACCAAGAGCAGGCUAUGCUGGUAGACACGGGAACACGACGGAUGCCUCACGCGGGUGCAAGACCCGCCAUCUCCACCA